AAUAUCUACUUGUGAUUAAGCUGCAGGCAAUGCUCUCGGCUUUCCUAACUGGUACCCUGUCCGCUUCAAACCGAUCAAUAUUUAGCUCAAGAAGAAGCUAAUCAGAAAGUGAAGGCAUCAAAAGAGAUUCUACUUCCCAUAAAAUGAAUGUGAUAAUUGGAAAGGGCCUGGAGUUGAAAAUUUGGAAUCCAUAAGCAAAAGCUGGAAAAGAUUAUUGUGGAAUGGACAACAUGCUACUGUCUUUAAUUGCAGAAUUUGUUUCACAUUUUUAAUUUGAAUG